rnacentral:rRNA from 1 species
CCAGAGAACUUAGCAGAGAUGCUUUGGUGCCUUCGGGAACUCUGAGACAGGUGCUGCAUGGCUGUCGUCAGCUCGUGUUGUGAAAUGUUGGGUUAAGUCCCGCAACGAGCGCAACCCUUAUCCUUUGUUGCCAGCGGUUAGGCCGGGAACUCAAAGGAGACUGCCAGUGAUAAACUGGAGGAAGGUGGGGAUGACGUCAAGUCAUCAUGGCCCUUACGAGUAGGGCUACACACGUGCUACAAUGGCGCAUACAAAGAGAAGCGACCUCGCGAGGGCAAGCGGACCUCAUAAAGUGCGUCGUAGUCCGGAUUGGAGUCUGCAACUCGACUCCAUGAAGUCGGAAUCGCUAGUAAUCGUGGAUCAGAAUGCCACGGUGAAUACGUUCCCGGGCCUUGUACACACCGCCCGUCACACCAUGGGAGUGGGUUGCAAAAGAAGUAGGUAGCUUAACCUUCGGGAGGGCGCUUACCACUUUGUGAUUCAUGACUGGGGUGAAGUCGUAACAAGGUAAGCGUAGUGCU